rnacentral:tRNA from 1 species
UCCCUGGUGUUCUAGUGGUUAGGACUCGGCACUUUCACUACUGUGGCUCAGGUUCAAUUCCUGGUUUGGGAA